rnacentral:rRNA from 1 species
UACGUAGGUGGCAAGCGUUGUCCGGAUUUACUGGGCGUAAAGGGUGCGUAGGCGGCGCGGUAAGUCGGGUGUGAAAUCUCGGAGCUUAACUCCGAAACUGCAUCCGAUACUGCCGUGCUUGAGGACUGGAGAGGAGACUGGAAUUUACGGUGUAGCGGUGAAAUGCGUAGAGAUCAGCAGGAACACCAAGGCCGAAGGGACCUACCUGGGCAGUAUCUGACACUCAAGUGCGACAGCGUGGAGGCGCACG